UAAAGAUCCGUCGGAUGAGGAUAGGCUCGCGUGACAUUAGCUAGACGGCGGGGUAACGGCCCACCGUGGCGACGAUGUCUAGGGGUUCUGAGAGGAAGGUCCCCCACACUGGAACUGAGACGCGGUCCAGACUCCUACGGGAGGCAGCAGUGAGGAAUAUUGGUCAAUGGCCGGAAGGCUGAACCAGCCAUGCCGCGUGAAGGUCAGUGCCCUAUGGGCGUUAAACUUCUUUUGUGCGGGAGCAAUAAGGGCCACGCGUGGCCUGACGAGAGUACCGUACGAAUAAGCAUCGGCUAACUCCGUGCCAGCAGCCGCGGUAAUACGGGGGAUGCAAGCGUUAUCCGGAUUUAUUGGGUUUAAAGGGUGCGUAGGCUGUGAGGUAAGUCAGCGGUGAAAUGCCCCCGCUCAACGGGGUGAAGUGCCAUUGAUACUGCCUUGCUGGAAUGCGGAUGCCGUGGGAGGAAUGUGUGGUGUAGCGGUGAAAUGCAUAGAUAUCACACAGAACACCGAUUGCGAAGGCAUCUCACGAAUCCGCGAUUGACGCUGAUGCACGAAAGCGUGGGUAUCAAACAGGAUUAGAUACCCUGGUAGUCCACGCUGUAAACGAUGAUGACUAACCGUCGGCGAUACACAGUC
rnacentral:rRNA from 1 species